UACGUAGGUGGCAAGCGUUGUCCGGAUUUAUUGGGUUUAAAGGGUGCGUAGGCGGCUUUAUAAGUCCGUGGUGAAAGCCAACAGCUCAACUGUUGAACUGCCAUGGAUACUGUAAGGCUUGAGUACAGACGAGGUAGGCGGAAUGGAUGGUGUAGCGAUGAAAUGCAUAGAUACCAUCCAGAACACCGAUUGCGUAGGCAGCUUACUAGGCUGUAACUGACGCUGAGGCACGAAAGCGUGGGGAGCGAACAGG
rnacentral:rRNA from 1 species